UUCCUCUGAAAGCUGUUUACUUGGUGCAAAGGACAACCUUCCCUGAUAGAGGAGGGACUGUUCUUCAGUCAAGGGUUACAAACAGGUACACUCCCCUGCUAGAACCUCCAAACUCUCAGGGUCCAUAAAAGGAAGGAAGGCUUAAGUACAAC
rnacentral:sRNA from 1 species